rnacentral:rRNA from 1 species
AUGGUCAUAAUUGAUGAUAUUUGGCAUGGUGGAGAAUGGGAAACAAUCAGAAGAUCUCUUCCACUGAAUACUCUGGGCAGCAGAAUUGUCACAACAACUCGUAUUAAUGCUAUAGCUGAGAAGUGGCGUGAUGAUUUUGAUGCCUUGAUCUAUAAAAUGGACACUGAAUGGGAUUAUGUUCGUGAAAUAUGGGCCUACAUAAUUGGUGAGGAAGAUGUUGCCGCUGGGAUGGUAGCAAAGUUUGACAUGGUUGCCGCAGAUUUUGAUUGUGACCAUCCUGUUGUGCACAUGUGCGGUGGUAUGCCAUUAGCACUAGUCUGUAUGUUUUCAGCGUUGGCAAAGGAGCAAGAACAACAAGGGCUGCAUGUAAAGAAGGCAAGUGAUGUACAAGAUAGGAUUUGGGAAAAAGUAAAGCGAAAUGGAAUCCAGAAUACUCCAGGUUUUGAACCAUUGGUCGAGAGUUUGCAGCUGGGCUACAUCCAUCUUCCUCAUCAUAUGCUGAAGACUUGCCUUUUGUACUGCUGUAUAUACCCUGAGGGUCGGGAGAUUAAAAGGGGUCAUUUGAUGAGGAGAUGGACCGCAGAAAGAUUUGUCUGUAAAGAGGAGAUAGCAAAAGGUUAUUUUGAAGAGCUUGUUAACAGGGGAUUGAUUCCGUUUGUAAAGAAAAGAUACAGUCAGAACUAUGGCAAAUACAGAGUGCACCCCGUGAUGCGAAAUUUCCUUAGAUGCAAACUCCGAGAAGACAAUUUCAUUACAUGCAGUUCUGAUAUUCCAGCGUCAUAUGCCUGCCGAAUCCGUUUGCUCUGUAUCGAUGAGGAUCCGAUGUCAGACUCAGACUCUGUAACGGAUGAUGGUCCCAUGUCAGAAAUUGAUUGGUCCCAUAUUCGGUCCCUUGUUGUGUUUGGAAGUGCCAGGAGAGCCCGCUUGGGACAGUUGAAAUGUCUGCGUGUGUUAGAUCUUCAGUUCAAUGAGGGUCUUGAGAAUGACGAUCUGAAGGAUAUGUGUGGCCUAUUCCGUGUGAGGCACCUGUUUGGCCUUCGUGGGAGGUUUAUAAGUGAGAUCCCACCAGAAAUACGGGGGCUGCAGCAUCUGGAGACUUUGGAAGUGAGGGGAACACGGAUCACAGGCCUACCCGUUGAGAUUGGAAAGCUGCAGCAUUUGAAGAACCUGGACUUGAAGCAGAACGAGUAUCUCAAGGAGGUGCCUAGGGUGAUCCGAGACCUGCAGCAUUUGGAGAAUCUUUCCUUGAAUACAACAGGCAUCACAGAGCUACCCAGGGAGAUCAUCACGAGACUACCACAAUUGAGGAGCCUUGACGAUCACACAACUGCCUCGGGAGUUGCGAACCUCCAGAAUUUGGAGAGUCUGAACUUGAAGGGCACAAGUAUCACAAAGCUGCCUUCGGAGAUCGGCAAACUGCAGCAUCUGGAAUCAUUGAACUUGUUCUUCUCAUUGGUGAAGAGGAUACCGAGGGAAAUCGAAGGACUUAAGAAACUGAAGAGUUUGGUAACAGACGGUGUCACCGUAUUGGCCUGGGAAGCUGCUAAGCUUUCAGGAUUGUUGGGAUUGCCCGAGGGUGUCUGCCAAAUUUGGAAGAACAGUGAUGUGAUGCGCAUCCCGUGGUGGAUCAAGGAUCACUUCAAUGACCUCGGCACCUUGGACAUCAGGGUCUGUAAGCUAGAGGAGGACGGUCUCAAGAUUCUGCGGGAGAUGUCCAACCUUAAGGUUCUCGUUCUGUAUUUCGAAGUCGUUCCGAGAGAGCCGGUAGCCAUCAGAGGUGGAGGGUUUCCCAGGCUUAUGAAACUCACUAUUUACAGUCGAGUGCCACGGGUGUUCUUCCAGGAAGGAGCUAUGCCCAUGCUUGAAUGGCUUGUUAUCGUGUUCCAGUUCUAUGCUGGCCCACCAAAUAGAGAUCCUGUCGGUAUCAAUCAUCUCACGAAACUCAGCGUAGUCGAGAUUCGCUGUGAAGAGAAAUGGUACAGCACAGACACCCCGUGCAUCAGCGCCACAAUUGACGUCCUUAGAGAAGAAGCAUGGGAGCAUCGCAACGAUGUGUUAUUUUCUGUCACUGCUUACAGUUCAGGGACUUACGCAGCGAACAAAAAUAGUGCAGAUAUUUUGGAAGAGGUCAAUGACGCUUGCAGCAGUGAGACGGGCGAGUUCGAACGAGGAGGAGAGCAGCAGCAGGGUGAGAUGGAGGAAGAGGGGAGCCAGGCAUAA